GAACUGUCAUGACCUUUGGGCCAGAGCGUGAUUAACGGCUAGGAUUGGCUCUGAUGCUUUGUCCUUAAGCUGUAGAGGAUCGUUCCCGUCAGGCUUGCUUGACUCGGGGUGGCCCAUAGGUUGUCUGA
rfam:Zea mays cultivar B73 chromosome 2, whole genome shotgun sequence.